GGCUCAGAUUGAACGCUGGCGGCAGGCCUAACACAUGCAAGUCGAACGGUAGCACAGAGGAGCUUGCUCCUUGGGUGACGAGUGGCGGACGGGUGAGUAAUGUCUGGGAAACUGCCCGAUGGAGGGGGAUAACUACUGGAAACGGUAGCUAAUACCGCAUAACGUCGCAAGACCAAAGAGGGGGACCUUCGGGCCUCUUGCCAUCGGAUGUGCCCAGAUGGGAUUAGCUAGUAGGUGGGGUAACGGCUCACCUAGGCGACGAUCCCUAGCUGGUCUGAGAGGAUGACCAGCCACACUGGAACUGAGACACGGUCCAGACUCCUACGGGAGGCAGCAGUGGGGAAUAUUGCACAAUGGGCGCAAGCCUGAUGCAGCCAUGCCGCGUGUAUGAAGAAGGCCUCCGGGU
rnacentral:rRNA from 2 species